GACGAACGCUGGCGGCGUGCUUAACACAUGCAAGUCGAGCGGUAAGGCCCUUUCGGGGGUACACGAGCGGCGAACGGGUGAGUAACACGUGGGUGACCUGCCCUCAGCUCUGGGAUAAGCCUGGGAAACUGGGUCUAAUACUGGAUAUGACUCCACGGUGCAUGUCGUGGGGUGGAAAGCCUUGUGCGGCUGAGGAUGGGCCCGCGGCCUAUCAGCUUGUUGGUGGGGUGANGGCCUACCAAGGCGACGACGGGUAGCCGGCCUGAGAGGGCGACCGGCCACACUGGGACUGAGACACGGCCCAGACUCCUACGGGAGGCAGCAGUGGGGAAUCUUGCGCAAUGGGCGAAAGCCUGACGCAGCGACGCCGCGUGAGGGAUGACGGCCUGGUGU
rnacentral:rRNA from 1 species